rnacentral:pre_miRNA from 15 species
AAGACCUGUGGUUACCGUCCCACAUACAUUUUAGAUGUGUAUGUGGGAUGGUAAACCGCUUCUU